CACAGGUUGUGAACUCGAAGAGUAGGGCGGGACACGUGGUAUCCUGUCUGAAUAUGGGGGGACCAUCCUCCAAGGCUAAAUACUCCUGACUGACCGAUAGUGAACCAGUACCGUGAGGGAAAGGCGAAAAGAACCCCGGCGAGGGGAGUGAAAAAGAACCUGAAACCGUGUACGUACAAGCAGUGGGAGCACCUUCGGGUGUGACUGCGUACCUUUUGUAUAAUGGGUCAGCGACUUAUAUUCUGUAGCAAGGUUAACCGUAUAGGGGAGCCGAAGGGAAACCGAGUCUUAACUGGGCGUUAAGUUGCAGGGUAUAGACCCGAAACCCGGUGAUCUAGCCAUGGGCAGGUUGAAGGUUGGGUAACACUAACUGGAGGACCGAACCGACUAAUGUUGAAAAAUUAGCGGAUGACUUGUGGCUGGGGGUGAAAGGCCAAUCAAACCGGGAGAUAGCUGGUUCUCCCCGAAAGCUAUUUAGGUAGCGCCUCGUGAACUCAUCUUCGGGGGUAGAGCACUGUUUCGGCUAGGGGGCCAUCCCGGCUUACCAACCCGAUGCAAACUACGAAUACCGAAGAAUGUUAUCACGGGAGACACACGGCGGGUGCUAACGUCCGUCGUGAAGAGGGAAACAACCCAGACCGCCAGCUAAGGUCCCAAAGUCAUGGUUAAGUGGGAAACGAUGUGGGAAGGCACAGACAGCCAGGAUGUUGGCUUAGAAGCAGCCAUCAUUUAAAGAAAGCGUAAUAGCUCACUGGUCGAGUCGGCCUGCGCGGAAGAUGUAACGGGGCUAAACCAUGCACCGAAGCUGCGGCAGCGACRCUAUGYGUUGUUGGGUAGGGGAGCGUUCUGUAAGCCGUUGAAGGUGGCCUGUGAGGGUUGCUGGAGGUAUCAGAAGUGCGAAUGCUGACAUAAGUAACGAUAAAGCGGGUGAAAAGCCCGCUCGCCGGAAGACCAAGGGUUCCUGUCCAACGUUAAUCGGGGCAGGGUGAGUCGACCCCUAAGGCGAGGCCGAAAGGCGUAGUCGAUGGGAAACAGGUUAAUAUUCCUGUACUUGGUGUUACUGCGAAGGGGGGACGGAGAAGGCUAUGUUAGCCGGGCGACGGUUGUCCCGGUUUAAGCAUGUAGGCGGAGGUUCCAGGUAAAUCCGGWACCUUUUAACGCUGAGGUGUGAUGACGAGGCACUACGGUGCUGAAGUAACAAAUGCCCUGCUUCCAGGAAAAGCCUCUAAGCAUCAGGUAACAUCAAAUCGUACCCCAAACCGACACAGGUGGUCAGGUAGAGAAUACCAAGGCGCUUGAGAGAACUCGGGUGAAGGAACUAGGCAAAAUGGUGCCGUAACUUCGGGAGAAGGCACGCUGAUAUGUAGGUGAAGCCCCUGCGGGUGGAGCUGAAAUCAGUCGAAGAUACCAGCUGGCUGCAACUGUUUAUUAAAAACACAGCACUGUGCAAACACGAAAGUGGACGUAUACGGUGUGACGCCUGCCCGGUGCCGGAAGGUUAAUUGAUGGGGUUAGCGGCAACGCGAAGCUCUUGAUCGAAGCCCCGGUAAACGGCGGCCGUAACUAUAACGGUCCUAAGGUAGCGAAAUUCCUUGUCGGGUAAGUUCCGACCUGCACGAAUGGCGUAAUGAUGGCCAGGCUGUCUCCACCCGAGACUCAGUGAAAUUGAACUCGCUGUGAAGAUGCAGUGUACCCGCGGCAAGACGGAAAGACCCCGUGAACCUUUACUAUAGCUUGACACUGAACACUGGUCCUUGAUGUGUAGGAUAGGUGGGAGGCUUUGAAGUGUGGACGCCAGUCUGCAUGGAGCCGUCCUUGAAAUACCACCCUUUAAUGGCUGGUGUUCUAACGUAGACCCGUAAUCCGGGUUGCGGACAGUGUCUGGUGGGUAGUUUGACUGGGGCGGUCUCCUCCCAAAGAGUAACGGAGGAGCACGAAGGUUAGCUAAUCCUGGUCGGACAUCAGGAGGUUAGUGCAAUGGCAUAAGCUAGCUUGACUGCGAGAGUGACGGCUCGAGCAGGUGCGAAAGCAGGUCAUAGUGAUCCGGUGGUUCUGAAUGGAAGGGCCAUCGCUCAACGGAUAAAAGGUACUCCGGGGAUAACAGGCUGAUACCGCCCAAGAGUUCAUAUCGACGGCGGUGUUUGGCACCUCGAUGUCGGCUCAUCACAUCCUGGGGCUGAAGUAGGUCCCAAGGGUAUGGCUGUUCGCCAUUUAAAGUGGUACGCGAGCUGGGUUUAGAACGUCGUGAGACAGUUCGGUCCCUAUCUGCCGUGGGCGCUGGAGAAUUGAGGGGGGCUGCUCCUAGUACGAGAGGACCGGAGUGGACGCAUCACUGGUGUUCGGGUUGUCAUGCCAAUGGCACUGCCCGGUAGCUAAAUGCGGAAGAGAUAAGUGCUGAAAGCAUCUAAGCACGAAACUUGCCCCGAGAUGAGUUCUCCCUGAG
rnacentral:rRNA from 1 species